AUUGAACGCUGGCGGCAGGCUUAACACAUGCAAGUCGAGCGGGGUGAUGGUGCUUGCACUAUCACUUAGCGGCGGACGGGUGAGUAAUGCUUAGGAAUCUGCCUAUUAGUGGGGGACAACAUCUCGAAAGGGAUGCUAAUACCGCAUACGUCCUACGGGAGAAAGCAGGGGAUCACUUGUGACCUUGCGCUAAUAGAUGAGCCUAAGUCGGAUUAGCUAGUUGGUGGGGUAAAGGCCUACCAAGGCGACGAUCUGUAGCGGGUCGGAGAGGAUGAUCCGCCACACUGGGACUGAGACACGGCCCAGACUCCUACGGGAGGCAGCAGUGGGGAAUAUUGGACAAUGGGGGUAACCCUGAUCCAGCCAUGCCGCGUGGGUGAAGAAGGCCUUAUGGUUGUAAAGCACUUUAAGCGAGGAGGAGGCUCUUUUGGUUAAUACCCAAGAUGAGUGGACGUUACUCGCAGAAUAAGCACCGGCCAACUCUGUGCCAGCCGCCGCGGUAA
rnacentral:rRNA from 1 species